ACAGACGCCCGGGGAGACCGGCGUCUACACAGGGAGCGACUAGCAACAACCAGAGACCAUUUAAAAGAAGAUUGUUAUGAGCAUGCCCUAAUGGAAAGCCUAAAACGGGGAGAACAGCAGCACCAAACCGCGAGCAGGCUUCAGUGACAUGACUCCAAAAUCACACGGCAUAUUGGAGCUUAGGUGGAGAAAAAAAAUCAUUGCUGCACAGAUUCCUCCAAAAAGCCUUCUACUGAACAACACUGCGAAACAUUUAAUUCGAACGAACCUGCAGUAGACGGCACUUUGGUCCACAUGUCGCUUUGCCUUUUAAUAUAAAGCAAGACACAGAAAACUGUAUUCAAGACUAGACACUCUAAAACUAUAAUGAAUUAAUAUAAAGUGUUCAAAGUGUUCAGAUUUUCAUUUUCAGGCAAUUAUAACGACUUUACCAAAGAACAUCAGAAUUUCAGUCGAUGCACACGUGUAUGGAUAACCCAGAUAUCCUCUCAACACACACGCAUACACGCACACAAAAAUAACCACGGGACUUUCUCAAUUAUUACACAACACUGAUCAGCAGAAUUUUCCUCUCUGCGAGGAGAAAGCACUCAUUAUUCAGAGAGAGAGCUCUGCACUGCAGGCCAGAUGUGGAGGCCUCUGUUUCCGAGGAAGUAGCAAUCCUCAUCUUCCAACAUUUUGUCAUCUCGUUACAUUUCCGAACAAGGAUCCUCCCUGUGUUUCUGCCUGCUCUGAGGUCAUCCUGCUUCGCGACACUCCCCCGCCCCCCGGUCAUCUUUUCACGCAACGCCGUCAGUUUAACUCGGGUCGGAGCGCAACAUCCUCCCUGUAUUGCGCAAAUCCACACUCACUUGGCUCCUACUGAGGUAUGAGACAUUACUUGGGAUAUUUUCCCGUGCUGUACAUCCCUCAACUCCCGCGCAGUCGUUCGCUCGCUUUAAAACGAAAUAAAUAAAAAGGAAGAAACCCUUCAAAGCAACUGUGUUUGACAUUAGAACAACAUGGACGGAUAUAAUCACAGUAAUUGGACAACCAUAACGUCUCUGCCCAUAAACACGCCGCCAUUAGUAAUGACCAAAAAGGCAAGGGAGGCAGGGCGUCGUUUUUAUCCUGUUUAUGCAGAAUCAAAGGGCACAGCAGAGAAACAUCCCUGCAGGGGAAAUGCAGAACAUAGUGCGUUGAUCAUUUUAUGCUUUGUAGCUCUAUCAAGGCCAAAUUCUGUUCAGUGGGAUUAAAUUGGCUAUGACAUGUAGCAGAUACGACUCUUUAUAAACAAGCGGGAAAGAUACAGAGGCACUCAUAAUUAAUCAUUGUUGUAUCUGCACAAGCUCAGCUGAGGCAGGGAAACUGCCACAGGUUGAAUUGGUUAUGAAUAUGCAACUAAAACGGCAAAUAUACAGCAGCUCUGCGCUGAAAUUCUCUGACGAUCUGAAGAUAAAGACCUCGCGAUGUGAUGAAUUAAAAUGUCAUUUACUUGUUUACCACUUAAACAAGAUAGAAGCCCUCAAUUAAGGAAAUAAUCACUCCUAAUCUAAUUUAGACAUCAACCACAAGCCCUGCACUUUAUUUUGGACUCUGCACCUCCUUCGACUCCGCCGCACCUGCACUCCCGCAGCCUGCCUUCUCCCACGGCGCUGUCACAGUCUGUUUUCGGCGCCACGCGUGCUCUCCGAGCAGAGGGACAGCAGAGGCAGGUGCAGCUCUCGUUUGCUUUGUAUUCCUCUGCUAAUCCCACUUAUGUCAACCACCAGGGUCCUGUUGGAGAAAACAUUGCCCAAUUUCCCUAAUCAGUGAAAGUCUCUCAAAGGCUGCCAGCGCGUGCAGUCAAUGCCUGUGUUUACUUAAGGCCACAGAUGUUGCUCCAUUAUUCCAGUUCGUCGAGUGAAAGCGCCUCACUGUCGUGUGAAUUUGUCAACGUAGCACGGGAACAGAACAGAGGAGGAAGGUGCGCAGCUGGGCUGUGUGCACAGUCAUGUAUAGAUUUACACUGAAAGGUGAAAACAUGGGCCAAAAACAUCUUCGAGAGUAUAUAAUGAUGUCUGUGCGUGUUUUAAAGAUUCUCGAGGCAUGACUGUGUCUACACUGUAGAGCCACUGGGCAACUGUCGGCAUGAAAUAUUGUGCCAACAGUCAUGAACCCAAUCAUGGUGACGGUGGCAUUGUUGGUUUUUAGCGGCGCCACAGAGAGCAUUAAACAUGGAUGCAGUCCAGGUCGGAUAAAUGAAGCCGAUGGGGAAGUCCCAUUCUGUUUGAAGUCCUACAGAUGGUGAUCGUCAUGGUUACAAAAAGACUUCCGGUCCUAUAGAAGUCAGUGGGAAAAUAUCUAGGGCUGUCAGCAUUAACACAUUAAUGUCAUCACGAUUAACACAGUUUAGUUUGCAUUAGUUUUUAACACAAUUAACCCAUCUGGAGCGCAGCAUGAGUCAACAUCCCUGAAAUAUCUCUGUCAACGCAUUUCGGGAAGUUUGACCAAAGUUUGUCCAUUCUGCGCUCCAUGAUUGCGUUAAAAAUUUUAAUCACCCUUUGUAAACACUUUCCUAUUGAGCUCAUGGGCUCAGUCACUCAUGAUGAGUAAAUAAAAAGUCUUUUUUUUAAAAAUCUGGGUGCACUUUUUCCAAAUUCCUCAUUUUGUAUUUUGUGGUGUAUUGAACUAAACUCGGUCACAGAUACAAAGUUUGGUGAGCGCUAAGUUACAUACCAGCAACAUAUGCUGAACGUGACACGCGAAACGAGCCCAAGCAGAGACUGCAACACCAAUUUAUGUGAAAAUCAAAAAGAAUUAAAAACCUAAAUAAUUUUGGGUUUUCUUAAAUAUGGAUGUUAAUCGCUGUACGUGUGAUAUUCAUGAAAAAUUUGUCUCAGAUUGGCUAAUUGGAGGACAUAGUACAGACGCUACGAUCAUUAUAGUAAGA